GCGGUGGAGCAUGUGGUUUAAUUCGAAGCAACGCGAAGUAACCUUACCAGGUCUUGACAUCCCGAUGCUAUUUCUAGAGAUAGAAAGUUACUUCGGUACAUCGGUGACAGGUGGUGCAUGGUUGUCGUCAGCUCGUGUCGUGAGAUGUUGGGUUAAGUCCCGCAACGAGCGCAACCCCUAUUGUUAGUUGCCAUCAUUCAGUUGGGCACUCUAGCGAGACUGCCGGUAAUAAACCGGAGGAAGGUGGGGAUGACGUCAAAUCAUCAUGCCCCUUAUGACCUGGGCUACACACGUGCUACAAUGGUUGGUACAACGAGUUGCGAGUCGGUGACGGCGAGCUAAUCUCUUAAAGCCAAUCUCAGUUCGGAUUGUAGGCUGCAACUCGCCUACAUGAAGUCGGAAUCGCUAGUAAUCGCGGAUCAGCACGCCGCGGUGAAUACGUUCCCGGGCCUU
rnacentral:rRNA from 1 species